rnacentral:rRNA from 1 species
ACCUACGGGAGGCAGCAGUGGGGGAUAUUGCACAAUGGAGGAAACUCUGAUGCAGCGACGCCGCGUGAGGGAAGACGGUCUUCGGAUUGUAAACCUCUGUCUUUGGGGAAGAGAAUGACGGUACCCAAAGAGGAAGCUCCGGCUAACUACGUGCCAGCAGCCGCGGUAACACGUAGGUGGCAAGCGUUAUCCGGAUUUAUUGGGUGUAAAGGGCGUGUAGGCGGGAAAGCAAGUCAGAUGUGAAAACUCAGGGCUCAACCCUGAGCCUGCAUUUGAAACUGUUUUUCUUGAGUGCUGGAGAGGCA